CAUUAACCAAGGCGGAACCUUACUCCCCGCCCGCCAGAUCACUACUAGAUUUAACUUAAAACUCAAAGGACUUGACGGUGUUGCAAACCACCCUAGAGGAGCCUGUCCAAUAAUCGAUAAUCCACGUUUCACCUUACCCGCUUUUGCCCACCCAGUCUAUAUACCGCCGUCGUAAGCCAACCUUUUGAAAGUACAAUCGUAGGCAGUGCAGCCAACCACUAACACGUCAGGUCAAGGUGUAACUAAUAAGAGGGACUUUUGAUGGGCUACACUCUCCAGCCUGGAGACAAUACCCCCAAUGAAAACGGACAAAACGCCGGAUUUAGUAGUAAGCCUGACGAGUAAGUCAGAUUGAAACAAGCGCUG
rnacentral:rRNA from 1 species